AAUACCGGAUAAUAUUUCGAACUGCAUGGUUCGAUAGUAGAAGAAUGGCUUUGCUAUCACUUAUAGAUGGACCUGCGCCGUAUUAGCUAGUUGGUAAGGUAACGGCUUACCAAGGCAACGAUACGUAGCCGACCUGAGAGGGUGAUCGGCCACACUGGAACUGAGACACGGUCCAGACUCCUACGGGAGGCAGCAGUAGGGAAUCUUCCGCAAUGGGCGAAAGCCUGACGGAGCAACGCCGCGUGAGUGAUGAAGGUCUUCGGAUCGUAAAACUCUGUUAUUAGGGAAGAACAAACGUGUAAGUAACUGUGCACGUCUUGACGGUACCUAAUCAGAAAGCCACGGCUAACUACGUG
rnacentral:rRNA from 1 species